UACGAAGGGGCUAGCGUUGCUCGGAAUCACUGGGCGUAAAGGGUGCGUAGGCGGGUCUUUAAGUCAGGGGUGAAAUCCUGGAGCUCAACUCCAGAACUGCCUUUGAUACUGAGGAUCUUGAGUUCGGGAGAGGUGAGUGGAACUGCGAGUGUAGAGGUGAAAUUCGUAGAUAUUCGCAAGAACACCAGUGGCGAAGGCGGCUCACUGGCCCGAUACUGACGCUGAGGAACGAAAGCUAGGGGAGCAACAGGAGUUAGAAA
rnacentral:rRNA from 1 species